UACGAAGGGGGCUAGCGUUGUUCGGAUUUACUGGGCGUAAAGCGCACGUAGGCGGAUCGUUAAGUCGGGGGUGAAAUCCUGGAGCUCAACUCCAGAACUGCCUUCGAUACUGGCGAUCUUGAGUCCGGAAGAGGUGAGUGGAACUCCUAGUGUAGAGGUGGAAUUCGUAGAUAUUGGGAGGAACACCGGAGGCGAAGGCGGUUCUCUGGGCCUUACCUGACGCUGAGGAGCGAAAGCGUGGGGAGCGAACAGG
rnacentral:rRNA from 1 species